rnacentral:rRNA from 1 species
GAUGAACGCUGGCGGCGUGCCUAAUACAUGCAAGUCGAGCGAACAGAUGAGGAGCUUGCUCCUCUGACGUUAGCGGCGGACGGGUGAGUAACACGUGGAUAACCUACCUAUAAGACUGGGAUAACUUCGGGAAACCGGAGCUAAUACCGGAUAAUAUAUUGAACCGCAUGGUUCAAUAGUGAAAGACGGUUUUGCUGUCACUUAUAGAUGGAUCCGCGCCGCAUUAGCUAGUUGGUAAGGUAACGGCUUACCAAGGCAACGAUGCGUAGCCGACCUGAGAGGGUGAUCGGCCACACUGGAACUGAGACACGGUCCAGACUCAUACGGGAAGCAGCAGUAGGGAAUCUUCCGCAAUGGGCGAAAGCUUGACGGAGAAACGCCGCGUGAGUGAUGAAGGUCUUCGGAUCGUAAAACUCUGUUAUUAGGGAAGAACAAAUGUGUAAGUAACUAUGCACGUCUUGACGGUACCUAAUCAGAAAGCCACGGCUAACUACGUG